rnacentral:lncRNA from 10 species
GCAUUGUAUAAAAACUUCUCUAGCUGCUGUGUCACAAAGAUACUGGAAAGGGGCAAGGUGAAGGAGGAGACCAGCAGAGCAGCCACGGCCGGGACAGUGCAGAGGAGGGAAGAUGACACAGCUGUGAGACAUUUUGGGGAAUAGGUCCUUCUGUCACGGGGCACAGGACCCUUGACCGCAAAAUGACGUGAGUUACCACUGACUAUUUUCUGGGUCUUGAUCUUGUGACUCCAAAUGGAUGCAUUUUAGGACCCAAAGGGACCUAAGAGAGUGCUCAGACAGCUGGCUGCGUUAGGAGCUACCUGUGGCUGCUGAAGAAGAGUUUGCGUCAAUUUAAAGAAAGAGCCAUUCAAGGAAUGAGGACCAUGACCUUGGCUGCACUGACCAGCUGGGCUCUGGAGACUCAGUGAGGCUGCCCAGCCACCAACAGGCCCUGCACAAUAGAUCCACGGACCCAGCAGUCAGAGGUGACCCUAGGGGUCACUGGCCCGUGGCUAAGGAGGAGGAGCACAGACCUGCGACCCCCUUUUCCCAUGGACCACCCAGGGAGGCUGAGCGGGGACUCUGAGCUCAGAUGGACAACCUCAGAGCCACUGGGAAUUUGCCUGAGGCCACUGGGGCCAGGGUUAAAUCCAUAUGAAGCAGCGCGGGCUGUGCACCUGCCAUUUUCUAGGCUCUGUCACAUGCAUCUUUCUGCCAAAUCUCAUGGUGAUCCUUCAAGAAUAGUACUAUUAAUCUCCCCAUUGACAGAGGGAGAAAGGGAGGCUCAGAGACGUUAAGUGUCUCACCAAAGCUCACACAGCUUCCAAGCAAUAGAACUUUACUCAGUACUCAGUACAGGUUAACAUUUAUUCAUUCACUCGAUAACCAUUUGCAGCACAGCUACCAUAUGCCAGGCAGUGUUCUAGGCACUUAGAAUACAUAGAUGAGCAAAACAGGCAAAACCUUUCCCUCAGGGCGUUACCAUUUGAGUGCCACCAUGCCACGGCUGGUACAGUUGCUAUUGAGACAAACAAAAUAAGACCCAGUUUUUGCCUUUGGGGAGUAGGUAGUCUAGUGGAGGAGGCACAUACACAGAAAAUUCCAAAGUACUGUGGAAAUCUCAGGGUACUUUGAUAGGGAUUACCAGAGGAGCUGUGAGAAUAAAGGCUGGAUAUCAGGGAAGGCUUCCUGGAAGAGGUGUUGCCUGAAAUGAGCCUGGAAGGAUCACUUAGGGACAGAAAAGUCAUUCCGUGUAGAAUUCAUGGUACAGCUUGAGCAAAGACACAGAAGCAGAAGGCAGGUUUUUGGUUCCAUGAACUCUACAUCUGGCUACAUACAAAUGGUGAAGAGGAACAGGGAGAAACAUGGUUGAAAAGAACAGGCUUGGACUUCAGGAAGCAGUAAAAUGAGCGAAUGCCAUUUAUGGUUACAAAGAUAACUCAGCUGGGGGCCAAACAGAGACUGAAAUGGAGUGGGUGAGGAUGGAGGCCGGGAGGAGAUGGCUGCAGAGGUCCCAGCAAUGACAGUGGUUGUGGGAAGGGGCAACCCCAAGUCUUGUGCUCCCAACUGCAAAUCCAGUGCUUUUUCUAAAAAAAUAUUUAAAUAAUUUAUUUAUUUUUGAGAUGGAGUCUCGCUCUGUCACCCAGGCUGGAGUGCAGUGACACAAUGUCGGCUCGUGCAACCUCUGCCCCCCGGGUUCAAGCGAUUCUCCUGCCUCAGCCUCCCAAGUAGCUGGGAUUACAGACGCACGCCUCCACGCCUGGCUAAUUUUUUAUAUUUUUGGUAGAGAUGGGGUUUCACCAUGUUGCCCAGGCUGGUCUCGAACUCCUGACUUCAAGUGAUCCACCCACCUCGGCCUCCCAAAGUACUAGGAUGACAGGCGUGAGCCACUGUGCCCAGCCUUAUUUUUUUUUUUAAUUUAUAUUUUCAGAGGCAAACGAUCCUUGCUCAUUAAAAAAAGGAAAUAGAAAUUCAAAACAAAAAUGCCUGUAUCUGAUGGGAAAGAUGAGCCCAAUGUUCUUUUUUAAAAAACCUUUAUUAUGAAAUAUUUCAACUGAACAUAUGCAGUUUAUAUUGUUAUAAAGCAUAACAAGCAAUCAAACAGCUGUGAACCCACCACUCCAUGUCAGAACUAGAACUUCCCAAAGCAGUCGGAGCUGAGGUGAGAUCCACUCUGAUGCCCUUCCCCAACUCCACGCCACCCCCCAAGACCUGACCACCUGAUUACUCUGGGAUUUCAUUUUUGUCUCGUUCCCUUGCUUUGCUUUAUGUCUUUACCAAAUGUGAAUGUGUGCCUAAACAAUACAGUGCUCGAUUUGCUUGUGUUUAAGCUUUAUUACAAAUAUAACUUUGAUCCUUCUGCUACUUGCAAUUCUAAAUUUGAUAUUACGAGUCUCAGCCUCAUCGGCGUUGAUGCGUGUGACCGACAUUGAUUCACUCUCACCAGUACGUGGUGUGUUCCGUUGCAUGCAUGCACCCCUGCUGGGGUAUCCAUUCUCCUGUUGGUGGACCUUUGGGUGGUAUUAGUUGCUGGUCAUCUCCAUGGUGCUGUCCUCUUGCAGGUCUCCAGGACACAUGUGCAUGAGUUCCUCUAGGAAACCACGGUGUACAACUGCUGGGUUGCAGGCCCAGGGUUCUUUCCACUUCUCUAUCCUCCCAAGUAGGGUCCAGCUGGCCUUAGUGCUGCCAUGCUGAGAGCUCUGGGAGGGGCAACCCAGGGCAGACAGGCCCAGGCCAGCCACCCUGCCCCAGGCAUUUCCCAGGACUCAUCAGGCACCCAGCGGCCCCUCAGCAGUGAGCAAUACCAGAAAUCUGCCAGCUGGCUACUAACUGGGUCACAAGAGAGUACUGCUGU